CAACAAUCAUUUUAUUUAGCUCUUUGGUGCCAACACAGUGCCAAUGUACCCAUAUGCACACCCCCUCCCCCAAGGCUUACAGUCUGAGGAAAAAACACACAGUCCCCACCCAGCCUGGGACGAAACUAGACGACCUCAUUGCGGGGGCGGGCAGGGAGUGAUCGCCCCCCCACCAGGGAAGCCAGAGAACGCCACCAGGGCACACAGGUCGCCUCUGCUAAGUCUGUGGGUUCCCUUUGGGCUGAGCGCCGGCAGCAGUCUGGUCUCCCAUCCCCUCCUCUGGGUUCCUUUCUCAAGGGCCAAAAGCGCUCCCGAAGUUGUUUGUAUUUGAGGCCAUCUGGUGGAGAGCAGGGCGUAUAACCGAGGGAUCAAAGCCGGGCUCGCCUCCCGCGGACUUGCAGAGACUGGGCUGCGCCUGGGGCGAGGAAGGACGGACCGGAGCCACCUGAGGCCGAGCGGGAGCCAGACCCAGGGAUGACCGUCCUGGGGUGCCCCCCUGCACCCCGGAGGGAACGCAGCGCGCCCCUCGCAGUCCCAGGCCCUGCCCCUCGCUGCACCGCGGAGCUCCCCACGGCUUUACAUCUAGGAGGUCUGAGACCGUCUAUUGAAUUAGCAGCAGCAGCCAUCAGCCAACAAGGGAAGCCAUGUCUUCAUGGAAAGGAAUGCCCAUUUGAUUACAAGAGUCUGGCCAUCCUCGAUUCCAGCUCCUGUCCAUCCUGACUGCCCGAGCUCUCCAGCUUCCAACAUGGG